rnacentral:tmRNA from 1 species
GGGGAUGAAUUGGCUUUGACAGCGCGAUGACUCUGGUCGGUAAGCAUGUAGUGCGUGGGUAUUCAGCACUAUAAUCUCGGGUAUCGAACUUUUAAUUGGCGAAAACAAUUACGCUCUUGCUGCGUAGUCGAAGUACAGUAGACUGGACGCUUAAUCGCAGUGCCAUUGCAUAGCGACAAGACAUCGCUCUAGUAGCUUCCGCCUUGUAGCGACUAGUUAUAGCGGUGCCGUAAAUACAAGGUCCCCAACCUCUACAUCACCUAAAGGUUAAGGGUAUUAUGGUGGUUAAGGAGCGAGAAUAGUAGUCUCUGCUGGUGCUCACUCCCGACAAUCUGAAGAGAGACUAAACAUGUAGAAAGCCAACUAUAGCCGUGUUUGGACCGGGGUUCAACCCCCCGCAUCUCCAC